AACGAACGCUGGCGGCGCGCCUAAUACAUGCAAGUCGAGCGAGAAGACGUAGCAAUACGUUUGUAAAGCGGCGAACGGGUGAGGAAUACAUGGGUAACCUACCCUCGAGUGGGGAAUAACUAGCCGAAAGGUUAGCUAAUACCGCGUACGCUCCUUGGACUUCGGUUCAGGGAGGAAAGCGAUACCGUGGGUAUCGCGCUCUUGGAUGGGCUCAUGUCCUAUCAGCUUGUUGGUGAGGUAACGGCUCACCAAGGCUUCGACGGGUAGCUGGUCUGAGAGGACGAUCAGCCACACUGGCACUGCGACACGGGCCAGACUCCUACGGGAGGCAGCAGUAAGGAAUAUUGCGCAAUGGGCGAAAGCCUGACGCAGCGACGCCGCGUGGGGGAUGAAGGUCUUCGGAUUGUAAACCCCUUUCGGGAGGGAAGAUGGAACGAGCAAUCGUUCGGACGGUACCUCCAGAAGCAGCCACGGCUAACUUCGUGCCAGCAGCCGCCGUAA
rnacentral:rRNA from 1 species